rnacentral:rRNA from 1 species
AGUGAACGCUGGCGGCAGGCCUAACACAUGCAAGUCGAACGGCAGCACGGCAGUAGCAAUACUGUGGGUGGCGAGUGGCGGACGGGUGAGGAAUACAUCGGGAUCUACCCUGUUGUGGGGGGAUAACGUAGGGAAACUUACGCUAAUACCGCAUAAGAACUGAGGUUGAAAGCGGCGGACCGCAAGGCGUCGCGCGAUUGGAUGAACCGAUGUCCGAUUAGCUAGUUGGCGGGGUAAAGGCCCACCAAGGCGACGAUCGGUAGCUGGUCUGAGAGGACGACCAGCCACACUGGAACUGAGACACGGUCCAGACUCCUACGGGAGGCAGCAGUGGGGAAUUUUGGACAAUGGGCGCAAGCCUGAUCCAGCCAUUCCGCGUGCAGGAUGAAGGCCUUCGGGUUGUAAACUGCUUUUGUACGGAACGAAACGGCGGAGCUCUAAUACAGUUUGCUAAUGACGGUACCGUAAGAAUAAGACACCGG